UCAUUUUCGUUCAAUUAUAAUAGUACACAUACAGUAGGAGGUAGUGGCGAAAUAAGGCAAUCGAGAGGAAGGAUCACAAGUGUGCAAACGAUGCUCUCAACUCGGGUGCUCAAAUUCGCACAUCUCGAGUGUCUGCGUCUCUUCA
ensembl:ncRNA ZK616.63 ncRNA